UACUCAAAUCACACACUCCGUUAUCUGAACGCUUCUGCAAACAUGUCCCUGAACUGUUAAUCAUUACCAUGGGAAAUAGUACACUCAUCUAUACAAAUUAGAGUGUAAUUUGUGUAUCUAAACAUCACAGCCCAGCUCACCUGCUCUGCCUGACGAGACAGGAUACCGUGAGCACCGAUGAGCGAGUUCACAUGAAACGGCGCGUCAGUGGAAGCUGGUAAAGCGAUACAUCGCUGAGCGCUGGACGCAGCCCUGGCUGUACACAGGGUGAAAGGCACCAGGAGCCCCUUUGCUUGCUCGGCACAGCCCACCUGCGGGACCAGCUUCGGCUCCCGUCGGGAAGCUGCAGCUGCCGGCGGAUCCAGGCCGGCCGCAGGCAGGCGGCUCCAGAGGAGAAGGGAAGCCUUGAGGAAGACGCCGCACAACUUCUUCCUCGCCGUGACCCCGCUCGGCUCCCUGGCCAUGCUGCUACCAGGCGGGGUUGGUAAAGGGUUGGAUUUAAAAUGGCCCCUCUCUGGAGGGUCUGACACACCAACAAAGCCCUACAGCCUCCAGAAAUGU